rnacentral:lncRNA from 1 species
AAAAACUUGUAAAAUUUAAAGCUAUGUGUCGACCUGUAGCACAUAAGAGUCGACACAUACUGUACAAAUUUGUAAAAAAAUAAAAAAAUUUAAGGCAUUAGGUCGAAUUCUAAGGUAAUGAGUCGAUACAUACUGUGUGAACUUGGAAACAAACAUGCAAAAACUUCAUUUUUCAUUCAAGAAUAAAUAAAUAACAUGAUCAAACACCAAGCGCUUCAAA